AUUGGGCCUAAAGCGUCCGUAGCUUGCUGUGUAAGUCCAUUGGGAAAUCGACCAGCUCAACUGGUCGGCGUCCGGUGGAAACUACACAGCUUGGGGCCGAGAGACUCAACGGGUACGUCCGGGGUAGGAGUGAAAUCCUGUAAUCCUGGACGGACCGCCGAUGGCGAAAGCACCUCGAGAGGACGGACCCGACGGUGAGGGACGAAAGCCAGGGUCUCGAACCGGAUUAGAUACCCGGGUAGUCCUGGCCGUAAACGAUGUUCGCUAGGUGUGGCGUCGACUACGAGUCGGCGCUGUGCCGCAGGGAAGCCGCUAAGCGAACCGCCUGGGAAGUACGUCCGCAAGGAUGAAACUUAAAGGAAUUGGCGGGGGAGCACUACAACCGGAGGAGCCUGCGGUUUAAUUGGACUCAACGCCGGAAAUCUUACCAGCUCCGACAGUAGCGAUGACGCUCAGUGUGAUGAGCUUGGUUGAGCUACUGAGAGGAGGUGCAUGGCCGCCGUCAGCUCGUACCGUGAGGCGUCCUGUUAAGUCAGGCAACGAGCGAGACCCGCACUCUUAAUUGCCAGCGACACCGCGAGGUGGUCGGGUACAUUAGGAGGACUGCCGUCGCCAAGACGGAGGAAGGAACGGGCAACGGUAGGUCAGUAUGCCCCGAAUGAGCUGGGCUACACGCGGGCUACAAUGGUCGAGACAAUGGGUUCCAACCUCGAGAGAGGACGGUAAUCUCCUAAACUCGGUCGUAGUUCGGAUUGAGGGUUGAAACUCACCCUCAUGAAG
rnacentral:rRNA from 1 species